GGGUUUAUAGUCCAGUGGUAGGAUACUCCCUUAGGGUCGAAGAUCAUUUGGGAGUGGUCCCCGGUUCGAUCCCGGGUAAACCCC